rnacentral:piRNA from 1 species
UAAACUAAGGUGCUGCAUGCCCCUCUAGGCC